AUUCCAGCUCCAAUAGUGUAUAUUAAAGUUGUUGCAGUUAAAAAGCUCGUAGUUGGAUUUCUGGCGGGAGCGAUCGGUCCUUCACUCAGUGUUGGAACCUGAUUGUCUCCUGCCAUCCAUGGAGAAAACUUAUCUGGCAUUAAGUUGUCGGGUAGGCAAUCUCCAUCUUUUACUGUGAAAAAAUUAGAGUGUUCAAAGCAGGCUUAUGCCGUUGAAUAUAUUAGCAUGGAAUAAUAAGAUAGGACUAUGGUACUAUUUCGUUGGUUUGUGCACCAUGGUAAUGAUUAAUAGGGACAGUUGGGGGUAUUCGUAUUCCAUUGUCAGAGGUGAAAUUCUUGGACUUAUGGAAGACGAACUACUGCGAAAGCAUUUACCAAGGAUGUUUUCAUUG
rnacentral:rRNA from 1 species